rnacentral:tRNA from 1 species
UGAUAGGAAAAGGACUUAAACCUUUGUAUCUGGAGCUACAAUCCACCGCCUAUUACUCGGCCACCCUACC